rnacentral:lncRNA from 1 species
GGAUAAAGCUGUAGACUCCUGAGCAACAUGGGUCCCCUUCAGCAGAGUGUCCUACUAGUCAGCAUUGGCACUUGUUCGGGAGUGAUUGGUGUUUCCCAAACCCGACUCCUUUCUUUGGAAGAGGGGACACUGAGACCUGCAGCGUGUAACUUACCAGGAUCUGUAAGCUCACCAGACCCACAGCCUCAGAGCAGAAGGCGACAGGGACCAUAGGCGUACUUGCAGCUGGACUGGCAGCAGGAAGCCAGAGGUGGUGCUACAGGUUAGCGCUGGACCAUGCCCAGCUUGGCAGCCCACAGCAUUCCCUCCUCUUCUGGGCAAGCAUGGCAAAGACGCAUAAAACCACGAGCACCGUCUACUUGGACUUUGUCAACUGGAACCAGAUGCCCAGUGAGCCAUGUCUACCAUGUGGUCUGCACACACCCUGGGAUAGCUAACAAUGCGCGUAGCCCAACACAAAAGUUUGAACUUACUCAAAAUAUUAUGAGACUUGUUUUGUAUG